rnacentral:rRNA from 1 species
UUGACCUCGAAUCAGGUAGGAAUACCCGCUGAACUUAAGCAUAUCAAUAAGCGGAGGAAAAGAAACCAACAGGGAUUGCCUCAGUAACGGCGAGUGAAGCGGCAACAGCUCAAAUUUGAAAUCUGGCCUCCUGGUCCGAGUUGUAAUUUGCAGAGGAUGCUUCGGGCGCGGUGCCUUCCAAGUCCCCUGGAACGGGGCGCCGGAGAGGGUGAGAGCCCCGUACGGUUGGCGGCCAAGCCUGUGUGAAGCUCCUUCGACGAGUCGAGUAGUUUGGGAAUGCUGCUCUAAGCGGGAGGUAGACCCCUUCUAAAGCUAAAUAUUGGCCAGAGACCGAUAGCGCACAAGUAGAGUGAUCGAAAGAUGAAAAGCACUUUGAAAAGAGGGUUAAACAGCACGUGAAAUUGUUGAAAGGGAAGCGCUUGAGACCAGACGUGCGCCGGGGUGCUCAGCGGGCGUUCUCGCCCGUGCACUCGCCCCGGCGCAGGCCAGCGUCGGUUUGGGCGGGGGGAUAAAGGCGUCUGGAAUGUGGCUCCCCCGGGAGUGUUAUAGCCAGGCGUGCCAUGCCUCCGCCCGGACCGAGGUACGCGUUCUGCAAGGACGCUGGCGUAAUGGUCCCCAGCGACCCGUCUUGAAACACGGACCAAGGAGUCGAGGUUUUGCGCGAGUGUUUGGGUGAAAAACCCGCACGCGUAAUGAAAGUGAACGUAGGUGAGAGCUUCGGCGCAUCACCGACCGAUCCUGAUGUUUUCGGAUGGAUUUGAGUAAGAGCGUAGGGCCUCGGACCCGAAAGAUGGUGAACUAUGCUUGGAUAGGGUGAAGCCAGAGGAAACUCUGGUGGAGGCUCGCAGCGGUUCUGACGUGCAAAUCGAUCGUCAAAUCUGAGCAUGGGGGCGAAAGACUAAUCGAACCAUCUAGUAGCUGGUUACCGCCGAAGUUUCCCUCAGGAUAGCAGUGUUGUUCUUCAGUUUUAUGAGGUAAAGCGAAUGAUUAGGGACUCGGGGGCGCUAUUUAGCCUUCAUCCAUUCUCAAACUUUAAAUAUGUAAGAAGCCCUUGUUGCUUAAUUGAACGUGGGCAUUCGAAUGUACCAACACUAGUGGGCCAUUUUUGGUAAGCAGAACUGGCGAUGUGGGAUGAACCAUACGGGGGGUUAAGGUGCCAGAGUAGACGCUCAUCAGACACCACAAAAGGCGUUAGCACAUCUUGACAGCAGGACGGUGGCCAUGGAAGUCGGAAUCCGCUAAGGACUGUGUAACAACUCACCUGCCGAAUGUGCUAGCCCUGAAAAUGGAUGGCGCUCAAGCGUCUCACCCAUACCCCCCCCUCAGGGUAGACACGAUGCCCUGAGGAGUAGGCGGCCGCAGUGCUGUGUGACGAAGGCUAGGGCGUGAGCCCGGCUCGAACCGGCGCUGGUGCGGAUCUUGGUGGUAGUAGCAAAUACUUCAAUGAGAACUUGAAGGACCGAAGUGGGGAAAGGUUCCAUAUGAACAGCGGUUGGAUGUGGGUUAGUCGAUCCUAAGCCAUAGGGAAGUUCCGUUUCAAAGGGGCACUUGUGCCCCGUGUGGCGAAAGGGAAGCCGGUUAAUAUCCCGGCACCUGGAUGUGGGUUUUUCGCGGCAACGCAACCGAACGCGGAGACGGCGGCGGGGGCCCCGGGCAGAGUUCUCUUUUCUUCUUAACGGCCUCUCACCCUGGAAACAGUUUGUCUGGAGAUAGGGUUUAACGACCGGAAGAGCCCGGCACUUCUGCCGGGUCCGGCGCGCCCUCGACGUCCCUUGAAAAUCCGCGGGAGGGAAUAAUUCUCACGCUAGGUCGUACUCAUAACCGCAGCAUGUCUCCAAGG